CUGAAAACCCAAGAAUGACACUUUUAGAUAGGAAACCUUGCAUAGGAAGAAGAGAGAUAUAAUAUGUCUUUACUCUGUAUGGUAGUUAAUAUGAGCCAGAAUUGAUUACCAUAUGAAUUGCUGCCUCUGUAGGAUUGAAGUGGCGGUGGUAACACACUCAGUUGGGAGGACCCAAUGGCAGAGUCGAUAUUAUUGACAUUUUCCUUGUUAGAAACGGUAGUAUCUGGUGUUCUUAAUGAAUUUGGACCAUGAAGUGGAGUCUGAUCACUCAUUAUCACAUCAACAGGUCGAGAUGCUGCUGCCCACACGGGGUGAUGACACCAGAGGUAGGGCAGCGCGCCGGGUCGAGGACGUCGCGGACAGGGCGAGGGCGGCUGGCCGAGGCAAGGUUCGUGGCGUGAUGGCAGCGUUGAUGGUGGAGGUCGUGGCGUGGUGGCGGCUUUGAUCAUGGAGGUUCUGUUUAAUUCCCCGGGGGUGUCAUCGCUGGGCUGUCAAAUCCUGAAGGGAGGAGUCUGCCGGCAGAACAUUUGUUUUGAACCGUAGAUCUGUUUGUAGUACGGUGGAUGUAACAUGGACCGUUGGAUGCAA